rnacentral:rRNA from 1 species
GAUCAUGGCUCAGGAUGAACGCUGGCGGCGUGCUUAACACAUGCAAGUCGAACGAAGCACUUUAUUUGAUUUCCUUCGGGACUGAUUAUUUCGUGACUGAGUGGCGGACGGGUGAGUAACGCGUGGGUAACCUGCCUUGUACAGGGGGAUAACAGUUGGAAACGGCUGCUAAUACCGCAUAAGCGCACAGCAUCGCAUGAUGCAGUGUGAAAAACUCCGGUGGUAUAGGAUGGACCCG